UGCGGGAUCGUCUAAUGGUAGGACGACAGUCUUUGGAUCUGUCUAUCUAGGUUCGAAUCCUAGUCCCGCAGCCA
rnacentral:tRNA from 1 species